GACGAAGGGGGCUAGCGUUGUUCGGAAUUACUGGGCGUAAAGGGCGCGUAGGCGGUCUUGUUAGUCAGGCGUGAAAGCCCUGGGCUCAACCUGGGAUGUGCGCUUGAUACUGCGAGGCUUGAGUGCAGGAGAGGAUGGUGGAAUUCCCAGUGUAGAGGUGAAAUUCGUAGAUAUUGGGAAGAACACCGGUGGCGAAGGCGGCCAUCUGGACUGCAACUGACGCUGAGGCGCGAAAGCGUGGGGAGCAAACAGG
rnacentral:rRNA from 1 species